rnacentral:lncRNA from 1 species
UUGGGUAAACCGAGGGGGGACACCAAAGCUUGGCCUUGUUGGGAUAACACAUGUCCUUCCAAGUCUAACUUCUAAGUAUGAAAAGGAAAAGAAAAAGGACGAUUACUUAGAGAGCAUGAGUUCCAUGUAGUUGGAGUUAUACAUAGUAUCUAUAUAGCUCCAAGUCUAAAGGCAAAUGAGGUUUGAUGGGUCUAAAAGCAUUUGUAUAGUUGGAAUGAACCACAAGCCUAUAAUUUCAAGCCUAAAAGGAACAAAAAGAUUGAUUUGUUCAAAAACAUGAACCUCGUGGAUAGAAACAACCCACUUGAUUGUAUAUAAGGAAAGAUUUCCUGAUAAUCUAGAGUCCGAUCAUGCGGUAAGUAUAGUUUGAACAAUAAUUUUUUUUAUUAGUAACUGAACUCAUGUGUUCUCUCGUUCGAUUUGACUUUUGAUGAAGCUAAUUAAACGUUUGAGUUCAACUGCUUGG